rnacentral:rRNA from 1 species
UGUCCUACGGGGGGCAGCAGUGAGGAAUAUUGGUCAAUGGCCGAGAGGCUGAACCAGCCAAGUCGCGUGAGGGAAGACGGCCCUACGGGUUGUAAACCACUUUUGUCAGGGAGCAAAGGGCGCCACGUGUGGCGUUUUGCGAGUACCUGAAGAAAAAGCAUCGGCUAGCUCCGUGCCAGCAGCCGCGGUAAUACGGGGGAUGCGAGCGUUAUCCGGAUUUAUUGGGUUUAAAGGGUGCGCAGGCGGAAUGUCAAGUCAGCGGUAAAAUUUCGGGGCUCAACCCCGUCGUGCCGUUGAAACUGGCG